rnacentral:rRNA from 1 species
GACGAACGCUGGCGGCGUGCUUAGCACAUGCAAGUCGAGCGGUAAGGCCCUUCGGGGUACACGAGUGGCGAACGGGUGAGUAACACGUGGGUGAUCUGCCAUGCACUUCGGGAUAAGCCUGGGAAACUGGGUCUAAUACCGGAUAGGACCACUGCCUGCAUGGGUGGUGGGGGAAAGCUUUUGCGGUGUGGGAUGGGCCCGCGGCCUAUCAGCUUGUUGGUGGGGUGAUGGCCUACCAAGGCGACGACGGGUAGCCGGCAUGAGAGGGUGACCGGCCACACUGGGACUGAGAUACGGCCCAGACUCCUACGGGAGGCAGCAGUGGGGAAUAUUGCACAAUGGGCGCAAGCCUGAUGCAGCGACGCCGCGUGAGGGAUGACGGCCUUCGGGUUGUAAACCUCUUUCAGCACCGACGAAGCGCAAGUGACGGUAGGUGCAGAAGAAGGACCGGCCAACUACGUGCCAGCCGCCGCCGUAAAAC